GUACACUUUUAUUUAUGUAACUAGAUGGACAUUGUUCAAUGAUACAUCCAAAAAGUGUCGUGGUUUCCUACACCCGGCUAUACUUCAAAAGUGGUUUGACGACCUCAACAACCACUUACUAAAUGUCCGUCUUUCAGUUCCGGCAUUUCAAAAGUUUCCUUCCUCUACUGUCCUCCUCCUCGCAGCUAUAUCCAACCACUCGAUCCAUCUGCUGGUGGCGGUGGCAACAGAGGUAUCUUGUCUAGUCUGAAAUGUUAGUUCCCAAAUAGGGUGAGUACAACCACAUAGCAGUAAAAGAUUCAUCAAGCUAUAUCAAGCAUUACUAUUAAUAUCAAGAUUCAAGUAUGGUAGACAAAAUAGGCAAUCCAUGAAUGAGUAUGCAUCCAAACCAUAUAACUCUUCGAUGCAAUGACCAGUGCAUUUCCAACCAAUAAGAUGCAUCGUGUCCAGCCACACAAGUCCCGACCAUUGGGCCAAACUGUAAUGACACGUCCCAUUCCAUGCCAUACAAUUUAGUCCCAUAACCAGACCACACUCACACUUAAUAUAAUCGUUCAUUUUAUCAUUCAAAAGGUUUCCAUCCCCUAGAGGACCAAUGUUUGCAUCCUUUUGGGAUUCCGCACCCAACUUGGCUUCGCGGAAGCCUCCGAGCAUGUAUUCAAAAUACAACCGAGCAUCCAAAGGGCAUCGACUCAUUCGAACCUCCGGGCAUCUUGCACCCUGCCUGGCAUCACGAGGAAUCACUAGGGACCAUAGACAUGGUUACCCCUAGCUUCCGGGCAUGCAUCAUAAUACAACCUCUCACCCUCUAGGCAUGUAUCAUAAUACAACUAGGCAUCCCGACACUCCCGGGGAAAAUCUCUGGGCAUGUAUUCAUAAUAAAACCAGGCAUCCAAAGGGUAUCGACUCAUUCGAACCUUUGGGCAUCCCGACUCCCGAGGCAUCGUUGACCUUAGCGUCCAAUGGUAACAAUUAACAUCUUAAUUUCCAGAAACACUUUUCAUUGCAAUAAAAAAAUGUCUAUUGAGUCUCAUCACAUCUCAAUAUUGCAUGAUAUGCCAAUUCCAGUAUCAUCAUUUCACAUAACCAUUACAAAACAUAUUCGCUUUUGGGACAUUUUGUGAAAAUUUGAAAACAGAGCAACUCGAUUUUUACCAUGCACCGUUCUGGUAAAUAUUUUGAAAUAAAUACUAAAUGAGCUCAGAAAAUUGUGAAAUUUUAACAUGUUAUCAAUGAGACUUUAAGAAAAAAAAUUUGUGAAGAACACCAUGUCAAAUUUCUUACGUAUCCAGAGUAAAAAUUCCGGUAUUCCUUAUUGACGUUCUGUAAAAUUUCCAGAUUUAACAUUUCUGUAUAAAAAAAUCAUUUCGCCAACCAAUUCUUGUCCAUUUAUGCUAAAUUUUUUAUAUGUUUCUCCUACAGAUAUGCUUUCCAACUUUUAUUAAGGAAUCGAAGUCAAAUUGUGGCUAGAAAAUUACAGAAAAAUCAAAAAGUCACCGAGGGUCACACUGUCCUUCACAAAACAGUCCAUUAACCUAACGAGAGUUUUUCCUACUCCUUGAAUUUCGACCUCCAACAUCCACAAUCAAAUAUAUACAAGUGUAUUACACUAUAACACAGCCUUAUCACUUCCAAAAAUCCUCCAUGGUCAAAUCUUUAAAUUCUUGUUCCAUCACAAAAUUCGAAAUCCACAAUGCAUGCCCUGUUUUUACCUAGUUUUCUUGAUCUAGUUUCAUCUUACAUGUCCAAAAUCCAACAUGCAGCUCUAAAAUUUCAUCUUUCUCACAUCUACCAACUCUUAGCUAGAUAAAACAGCAAGCAAAUCAUAGAUUGAAGAACUUCUGCUUGCCUUAAACCUUUCUACUCGAUUGCUGGCCAAAACAGGGGUUUGGGGGUCUUGGGCUUGGCUCAAUCGGCGGCGAAGACGGGCGGCGUCGACGGUGGUGGUUCGCACGAGCACAGACGGACGAGCACAGGCGGAGGGGCGACCUUCUCCCUCACUCCUGCUGGCAGCACGCUCAAACUCUCUCUCUCUCUCGCUCGCUAGCCCACUGCUCACUCUCGAUCUCUC
rnacentral:lncRNA from 1 species